GCUUAUGGCUGAGCAAAGAAAGUGGUUCCUUGAGACAGAAUCUACUCCUGGUGCAGAUGCUGUGAA
rnacentral:pre_miRNA from 1 species